rnacentral:lncRNA from 1 species
GUUGCGAAGAAGUAAACAUGAAUCGGAGUUGUUCGGAAAUUACCGGAACAUUCGGAAAUGCCGGUAUAUAAAUAACUCGAAGUCGAACUCGAAGUCCAACUCGAACUCGAACUCGAAUCCAACUCGAUGUUUCGGGAUUCCCGCAGACUACAAAUGACCAUGCGAAUGAUAAUUAUAGAUGUUGCUUCGUGUACGUUCUUGUGUGUGGAAAAUGUGUAGUGAAUUUUCAGGCAAGUGCCGCGAAGAGGGAAGUUUAAAGUCAAAUACGAGUGUGGAGGAAUUACUGUAUCAG